AGAGAGAGACAUGCGCGCAUAUCAAUAAGCGGAGGAAAAGAAACUAACAAGGAUUCCCUUAGUAACGGCGAGUGAAGCGGGAAGAGCUCAAAUUUGAAAUCUUCAAGGUUUUACCUUGACGAAUUGUAGUUUAAAGAAGUGUUUUCUGCUGAAGUUUUGGUAAAAGUUCUUUGGAAUAGGACAUCAUAGAGGGUGAGAAGUCCCGUAUUUGACCAUUAUUUUCAGCUUUGUGAUACACUUUCAAAGAGUCGGAUUGUUUGGGAAUGCAGUCCAAAAUGGGUGGUAAAUUUCAUCUAAAGCUAAAUAUUGGCGAGAGACCGAUAGCGAACAAGUACCGUGAGGGAAAGAUGAAAAGAACUUUGAAAAGAGAGUUAAACAGUACGUGAAAUUGUCAAAAGGGAAGCGUUUGACACCAGUGUUGUUUUCUCGAAGAUCAAUUAAAAAUGGCUCGAUUUUGUAUUGUUGAGACCUUAAAAGCUCACUGUACAUUUUUCGUGUCUUUUUUAAUGCACUUUUCGUUUAACAAGUCAACAUCAGUUUCUUUUGUUGUAAAAGGGUCAUUGGAAGGUGGCUUUCUUUUCGGAGAAAGUGUUUAUAGCCUUUGGCCUCUGCAAUCGGAGAGACUGAGGUCUGCAGCGUAGACUCUUCGGGGUUAGAUACAUUUGUGCUAAGUUAUAGCUUUUUAUAGACAACUUGUUGACUAUAAUUAGUCUUGUAGCUUACUCGCUUAUGCUAUUUUACCUACGCUUAGGAUGUUGAAGAUGUAGCACAUCA
rnacentral:rRNA from 1 species